rnacentral:rRNA from 1 species
GCUUGUCUCAAAGAUUAAGCCAUGCAUGUCUAAGUAUAAGCACUAUACAGUGAAACUGCGAAUGGCUCAUUAUAUCAGUUAUAGUUUAUUUGAUAGUCCCCACUACUUGGAUAACCGUAGUAAUUCUAGAGCUAAUACAUGCAACAAGGCCCGACUUUUGGAAGGGCUGUAUUUAUUAGAUAUAACCAGCCCCUUCGGGGUUUUCGGUGAAUCAUAAUAACUGAGCGAACCGUAUGCUUCGGCGACGGUGGUUCAUUCAAGUUUCUGCCCUAUCAGCUUUCGAUGGUAGGGUAUUGGCCUACCAUGGCGUUAACGGGUAACGGAGAAUUGGGGUUCGAUUCCGGAGAGGGAGCCUGAGAGAUGGCUACCACAUCCAAGGAAGGCAGCAGG